rnacentral:rRNA from 1 species
GGUCACUGCUAUUGGGGUUCGGCUAAGCCAUGCGAGCGGAGGGCGCGGUCGCAAGAUCGUGGCCCCGCACACGGCUCAGUAACACGUAGUCAACCUACCCUUGGGACGGGGACAACGCCGGGAAACUGGCGAUAAUCCCCGAUAGGUGAGGGAUGCUGGGAUGCUUCUUCGCUCAAAGCUCCGGCGCCCGAGGAUGGGACUGCGGCCUAUCAGGCUGUUGGUGGUGUGACGGACCACCAAACCUACGACGGGUACGGGCGAUGGGAGUCGGAGCCUGGAGAUGGGGACUGAGACAAGGCCCCAGGCCCUACGGGGCGCAGCAGGCGCGAAAACUCCGCAAUGCGCGCAAGCGUGACGGGGGAACCCCAAGUGCCGUUGGCUUUUGAUCGACGGCUUUUCGGAAGUCCAAUAAGCUUCCGGAAUAAGGGCUGGGUAAGACUGGUGCCAGCCGCCGCGGUAACACCAGCAGCCCAAGUGGUGGCCGCGAUAUUGGGCCUAAAGCGCUCGUAGCCGGAUCAGCAAGUCCUUUGUGAAAUCGGACCGCCCAACGGUUCGGCGUGCAAAGGAUACUGUUGGUCUUGAGACCGGGAGAGGUCGGAGGUACUCUUGGGGUAGCGGUGAAAUGCUGUAAUCCUGGGGGGACCACCAGUGGCGAAGGCGUCCGACCAGAACGGAUCUGACGGUGAGGGGCGAAGGCUAGGGGAGCGAACGGGAUUAGAUACCCCGGUAGUCCUAGCUGUAAAGCAUGCGGGCCAGGUGUCUAGCGCUCCUUGAGGGCGCUAUGUGCCGGAGGGAAGCCGUUAAGCCCGCCGCCUGUGAAGUACGGCCGCAAGGCUGAAACUUAAAGAAAUUGGCGGGGGAGCACCACAAGGGGUGGACCUGCGGUUCA